AAUGAACAAGGAAAAUUAUUUUAUUUGAAUUUAUGGGAAUGAUUCAUAUAUGGCAAAAAUAACAUGCUCACAGCUACCCCUCUUUGCCCGGAAACACAAAGAGUUUUCGUGCAAAGAUAAGUGAGCGGACAUGAGAAAUUUUUUCCCGUUUGAAUACUCUGUGCGAAGCAUUUUUGAAAAGCUUGCACGCACCGUACUGCAGAGGUUGCCUACAUAUCCUCGGCUAAAGAGGAAUCACGUCAAUGUAGUUCAGGAGUAUUUGGUAGCUUGGACUACCGAAACUAUGAUCUCAUUGUUGCUGCUACUGCUACUGCUGCUAGACCCCCUUAUUACACCUUGUGAAAAUACAAAAGAAGCUAGACUAAGCUAUAAACUAUGAGUUAUAAAAGAUCCUAUCUAUAUCUUCAAGUUUGCUCUUAUCCUUGUUGCUUUAUUGCUUUGUAUUUCUUCCUGUAAAACUUCUUGUUGCCUUGUUGACUUGUAUUUUGUUCAUGUAAAACUUCUUGUUUUCUCUUCUUCUAUGUUUGAUGCCGAAUUGUUGGACAUGAAAUGUAUUCCCUUGUUUUGCAGGUGGGCGCCUGAUUACCAAAACUUGAAAUCUGAAACAUACUCCCUUGUUCUGCAUGUGGGCACCUGAUGACCAAAACUUGAAAUCUGAAAUGUAUUCCCUUAUUCUCCAGGUGGGCGCCUGAUUACCAAGAAUUGAAAUUUGAAAUGUAUUCCCUUGUUCUGCAGGUGGACGCCUGAUUACCAAAACUUGACACUUGAAAAGUAUUCCCAUGUUCUCCAGGUGAGCGCCUGAUUACCAAAACUUGCAACUUGAAAAGUAUUCCCUUGUUCUUCAGGUGGGCGCUUGAUUACCAAAAUUUGGAACUUGAAAAAUAUUCCCUUGUUCUCCAGCUGGGCGCCUGAUUACCAAGACUUGAAAUUUAAAAUGUAUUCCCUCGUUCUGCAGGUGGACGCUUGGUUAACAAAACUUGAAAUCUGAAACUGUUCUCUUGUUCUCCAGGUGGCCGCCUAAUUACCAAGACUUGAAAUUUGAAAUGUAUUCCCUUGUUCUCCAGGUGGGCGCCUGAUUACCAAAACUUGCAACAUGAAAAGUAUUCCCUUGUUCUCCAGGUGGGCGCCUGAUUACCAAAACUUGUAAUUUGAAAAGUAUUCCAUUGUUCUCCAGGUGGGUGCAAGAUUACAAAACUUACAACUUGAAAAGUAUUCCCUUGUUCUCCAGGUGGGCGUCUAAUUACCAAAACUUGCAACUUGAAAAAUAUUCCCUUGUUCUCCAGGUGGGAGCUUGAUUACUCAAACUUGAAACUUGAAAAAUAUUCCCUUGUUCUCCAGGUGGGCGCCUGAUUCCCUUGUUCUCCAGGUGGGCGCCGGAUUACUAAAACUUGCAACUUGAAAAAUAUUCCCUUGUUCUCCAGGUGGGCGCUUGAUUACUAAAACUUGAAAUUUGAAAGGUAUUUCAUUGUUCUCCAGGUGGGCGCCUGAUUACCAAAUCUUGCAGCUUGAAAAGUGUUCCCUUGUUCUCCAGGUGGGCGCCUGAUUACCAAAACUUGCAACUUGAAAANNNNNNNNNNNNNNNNNNNNNNNNNNNNNNNNNNNNNNNNNNNNNNNNNNNNNNNNNNNNNNNNNNNNNNNNNNNNNNNNNNNNNNNNNNNNNNNNNNNNNNNNNNNNNNNNNNNNNNNNNNNNNNNNNNNNNNNNNNNNNNNNNNNNNNNNNNNNNNNNCCAAAACUUGCAACUUGAAAAAUAUUCUCUUGUUCUCCAAAUGGGUUCCUGAUUACCAAAACUUGAAACUUGAAAAGUAUUCCCUUGUACUUCAGGUGGACGCCUGGUUACCAAAAUUUGCAACUUGAAAAGUAUUCCAUUGUUCUCCAGGUAGGCGCCUGAUUACCAAAACUUGAAACUUGAAAAGUAUUUCCUUAUUCUCCAGGUGGGCGCCUGAUUACCAAAGCUUGAAAUUUGAAAAUUAUUCCAUUGUUCUCCAGGUGGACGCCUGAUUACCAAAACUUGAAGCUUGAAAAAUAUUCCCUUGUUCUCCAGGUGUGCGCCUGAUUACCAAAACUUGAAACUUGAAAAAUAUUCCCCUGUUCUCCAGGUGGGCGCCUGAUUACCAAAACUUGAAAUUUGAAAAGUAUUACUUGUUUUCCAUGUAGGCGCCUGAUUACCAAAACUUGAAAUUUGAAAAAUAUUCCCUUGUUUUCCAGGUGGGCACCUGAUUACCUAAACUUGCAAUUUGAAAAGUAUUCCCUGAGACUGCUACCUUUGUUCCUGAUUACCUAAACUUGCAAUUUGAAAAGUAUUCCAUGAGACUGCACAUGUCUAAUCUAAGUUUUGACGCGCUGAAAUGAGAUGAAAACAAGAAAAAACAUGACUAUUAUUCAAAAUCAGGAUUUCAGCCCAAGCAUUCACAUUUUCAAAUGACAUUAGUUUAUUAUUUAUGCAUAUUAAGAGUAUGGAAGUGGAAAGUAAUAAAAACACCUCUAUAUCUAUUGUAGAAGUAAAAGAAAACAAAAUAAAAGAAGCCAAACAACAAUGUAACCAUUUAAACACCUAUCAAAGUCAACAAACAUAAGUCCAAGUUCCUAUUUCAAGCCCUAAAAUGAGUCUCCAAUGUUCAAAGAACUACAUUAAUUCAAACACUCUAGACAGAAAACAUGAUGUAGCAAUUCGAAUGAAAACAGAACAGAAACAGAAAGAAGAGAAAAACAAUCAGCAGGUAGAGAGAUCUUCAUUUCUUCACAACAAAUGAAUCAGCCUUUAUAUUUUAGGAUCAAGGUAUGUACCUGGGAAUGAAAGGCAAAGGGAAAAGUGAGGAAUCAAUAGUAUCAAGAGCAGAAAUUAGCACCAGCAACAGAACAGCCCAGGUUCAACCAAAAUCAGCAACGAAAUCAAUCCAGAAGAAAGAAACCAAUCCAACAACUUAAAUCGGAUCUUUCAAUACCCAAGCUUAAACCAUUUUUAACCUUGAAUAAAAUUAGAUGUUGUUCAGGAAUGAAAAAAACUUCAAAGUUCAAUGCAAAAAUUUCAAUGGAACAACAUUUACUCUAAUUUUUCAGUUCUCUCAAGUCUGUCUUGAAUAACAAGGUAGAGUGCUUUAUAUCCAAGGCGUUUAGGGCAGCCCUCAAAAUCAGUUUUUUCACUUUUGACCCUUUUUAUGUUUUCAUUUUUUCCUAGAUACCCCUUAGUCUAGUUCUCAACUUUCAAAAUAACCUUUUUCCCAGUUCCUAGAAGCUUCCCAAGCAGUUAUAAAUAGAUUCCCUAGCUAGACUACCUAAAUUACCCUUAAAACCCCUAAAAUUACCCAAAUAGACUAAAUGGGUAUGGGUCAAGUUGACCCAAGAGUUCAAUUAAACUGAGCCUAGGCCUAAACCAUGCUGACUACCGGCUUUCCCCCUUCCCCACUUUGGGCUUCCUCUUUUCAGAGCCCAAAUGAAAUUAAAGAAAAUGGGCAGAGCAGUUUUAUAGAACAAGUUUAUAAAAACUACAACAAUUCCGAAGAUGUGAACAACGAGACUUCAGACACAAACAAAAAAAAUGAAAAGGCACAAACAGAAAAGAAAAAGAAAUCAUCAUGAACAAAUAAUGAUUUUCCAAACUGACAAUGUUAACUUAUAACACAAGAAUUGAUGCUUGAAACCAAACUAAUACAACGAGCAACUAAAUUAGAAAAGACUAAAAACUACAGUAAAGAGGGGAAGGAUUUACGAAGCUCUACUAGAUAAUUGACGACUCAGCGAAAUUGACGACUAAAGAGGAUCCGGUAAAUGGCGAGAAUUGUAGCAUAGGCAUUAACCGGAAUUUCUUCGACAGUUAAUGCUCCAUAUCACAAUCCUCAACACCUACUUUGAAAUGAGAUGAAUUAAAAACUUGGAACACAGAUUGUUUUGACCAAAAACUGGCUACCAUGACGGGCCUUGAAAUUGAUUAACUAACAAGCCAAUCCCGCGUGAUAUCACCAAAUAAAAACAAAUAAGGGGAAAGAUCAAGGAAAGUAAAGCCCCCCCCCCCCAAAUUUCUGUCUUCCGAGAUUUGGAUUUCUCGAAAAUCGGGUGACUUCUGGAGAAAAUCGUGGUAGAUUUGGAUUGAGGAUGCAAUAAGGAAUAUCUAGUCAAAUUUAGAUAGAGUUUGGAGAUCAACCGCCACAGCUAACGAUUUUAGGUGGCGGUGGACGGUGGUGAGAGAUGAGACUGACAAAGGCGAUAUAACUAGGGUUUUAGGUCAUUUGGUCGUUUGGAUAGUUUUAUGUGAAAAUGAUAAAGUCCCUAUGGAUGUUAGAU
rnacentral:lncRNA from 1 species